rnacentral:tRNA from 1 species
GGAGGGGGCCAUGGCUCAGCGGCAGAGCAUCUUCUUGGCAUGCAGAAGGUCUUGGGUUCGAUCCCCGGCAUCUUCA